CCGCUCUCUGUGGGGGCCCCCCUUGAAGUGGUGCCCCACUGCGUGGGCUACAUCCGGAAACAGGGUCUGCCUUUGCGGAUGGAGCCUGGGGGCUUCAGGCUGCAAAUCACAGACUUCCAGCGUGGUGAUUUCUCACAGCCACCCUGAGACACAAACCCACACACUCAGCACUUUCUGCAGAUGACCUGUUAGACUGCAGACCUGUGGGGUCACAUUGGAUGAAGACUUCCUUCCUGCGACAUCUGCCUUUGGGCCUGGUCACCGCCCCGGGCUGCCUUUCCUGUGGUACUGGGAGGUUACAGGUCAAUCACUUCAUCCAAACACCAUAUACGUGAUUUUAUGGGAUAAGACCUCCGAAGAGCAACGUUCCUUGGGACUUUCAGAAUAGACUGUAUUUAGCAAAUUGUUGGUGACUCAGCAGUAAAGAAUCCACCUACAAUACAGGAGCCACAGGAGACGUGGGUUUGAUCCCUGGGUCAGG
rnacentral:lncRNA from 1 species